UCCCUUCUAGCUCAGAUGAUAAAGAAUCUUCCUGUAAAGCAGGAGACCCAGGUUCAAUUCCUGGGUCAGGAA
rnacentral:tRNA from 1 species